rnacentral:rRNA from 1 species
UGAGGAAUAUUGGACAAUGGGCGCAAGCCUGAUCCAGCCAUGCCGCGUGCAGGAUGACGGUCCUAUGGAUUGUAAACUGCUUUUGUACAGGAAGAAACAGUUCUACGUGUAGAACCUUGACGGUACUGUAAGAAUAAGGAUCGGCUAACUCCGUGCCAGCAGCCGCGGUAAUACGGAGGAUCCAAGCGUUAUCCGGAAUCAUUGGGUUUAAAGGGUCCGUAGGCGGUUAGAUAAGUCAGUGGUGAAAGCCCAUCGCUCAACGGUGGAACGGCCAUUGAUACUGUCUGACUUGAAUUAUUAGGAAGUAACUAGAAUAUGUAGUGUAGCGAUGAAAUGCUUAGAGAUUACAUGGAAUACCAAUUGCGAAGGCAGGUUACUACUAAUGGAUUGACGCUGAUGGACGAAAGCGUGGGUAGCGAACAGGAUUAGAUACCCAAGUAGUCCCUGAGCGGGCUGGCAAGGCGCAU